rnacentral:rRNA from 1 species
GAUGAACGCUGGCGGCAGGCUUAACACAUGCAAGUCGAGCGGAGAUGAGGUGCUUGCACCUUAUCUUAGCGGCGGACGGGUGAGUAAUGCUUAGGAAUCUGCCUAUUAGUGGGGGACAACAUUCCGAAAGGAAUGCUAAUACCGCAUACGUCCUACGAGAGAAAGCAGGGGAUCUUCGGCCCUUGCGCUAAUAGAUGAGCCUAAGUCGGAUUAGCUCGUUGGUGGGGUAAAGGCCUACCAAGGCGACGAUCUGUAGCGGGUCUGAGAGGAUGAUCCGCCACACUGGGACUGAGACACGGCCCAGACUCCUACGGGAGGCAGCAGUGGGGAAUAUUGGACAAUGGGGGGAACCCUGAUCCAGCCAUGCCGCGUGUGUGAAGAAGGCCUUAUGGUUGUAAAGCACUUUAAGCGAGGAGGAGGCUACUGAGACUAAUACUCUUUGAUAGUGGACGUUACUCGCAGAAUAAGCACCGGCUAACUCUGUGCCAGCCGCCGCCGUAACAC